rnacentral:rRNA from 1 species
AGAGUUUGAUCAUGGCUCAGGAUGAACGCUAGCGGCAGGCCUAAUACAUGCAAGUCGUGGGGCAGCAGGACUGUAGCAAUACAGUUGCUGGCGACCGGCAAACGGGUGCGGAACACGUACGCAACCUUCCUUUAAGUGGAGGAUAGCCCGGGGAAACCCGGAUUAAUACUCCGUAACAUUAUGAGGUGGCAUCAUCUUAUAAUUAUAGCUCCGGCGCUUAAAGAUGGGCGUGCGUCUGAUUAGGUAGUUGGCGGGGUAACAGCCCACCAAGCCUACGAUCAGUAACUGGUGUGAGAGCACGACCAGUCACACGGGCACUGAGACACGGGCCCGACUCCUACGGGAGGCAGCAGUAAGGAAUAUUGGUCAAUGGACGCAAGUCUGAACCAGCCAUGCCGCGUGGAGGAUGAAGGUCCUCUGGAUUGUAAACUUCUUUUAUCUGGGAAGAAACCCACGGUUUCUACUGUGGUUGACGGUACCAGAUGAAUAAGCACCGGCUAACUCCGUGCCAGCAGCCGCGGUAAUACGGAGGGUGCAAGCGUUAUCCGGAUUCACUGGGUUUAAAGGGUGCGUAGGCGGGCAGGUAAGUCAGUGGUGAAAUCUCCGGGCUUAACCCGGAAACUGCCGUUGAUACUAUCUGUCUUGAAUAUCGUGGAGGUGAGCGGAAUAUGUCAUGUAGCGGUGAAAUGCUUAGAUAUGACAUAGAACACCAAUUGCGAAGGCAGCUCGCUACACGGUUAUUGACGCUGAGGCACGAAAGCGUGGGGAUCAAACAGGAUUAGAUACCCUAGUAGUCC